GUUUAGAUGGUUACCCUCACUUUGUAACACAUUAAUACAGCUACUGUGUGUCUAUCAUAACGGAGCUGGCCGACGUGUGGCACUUUUACUUCGAUCCACACAGUGCAAGUUUUUUACAGUUACAACGCAUCAGUUGUAUUAUUGCUGUUUACUGAGGGGAAGGAAGGAAGGAAGUGUGAUCAUCAUGGAUUAGGCGGGGAGUUCUCAGAAUAUUCAAGAAAGACAAACAAGCCGG
rnacentral:lncRNA from 1 species